UACGUAGGUGGCAAGCGUUGUCCGGAAUUAUUGGGCGUAAAGCGCGCGCAGGCGGUUCCUUAAGUCUGAUGUGAAAUCUCGGGGCUCAACCCCGAGCGGUCAUUGGAAACUGGGGAACUUGAGUACAGAAGAGGAGAGUGGAAUUCCACGUGUAGCGGUGAAAUGCGUAGAUAUGUGGAGGAACACCAGUGGCGAAGGCGACUCUUUGGCCUAUAACUGACGCUGAGGCGCGAAAGCGUGGGGAGCAAACAGG
rnacentral:misc_RNA from 1 species